ACUGCUUGUCUAACCAAUCAGCUUUGACGAAGCAUCUCAGUAGGCGGGAUUUAUCCGCUUCUUAGAACACUGGUGUAGCCAUUUUUCUUGUGUGACUGUAAGGCAGAUAGCUGAUUGAGGCUUUCUACAACACUGCUUCAAGGAUGGUCAAGAUCUUCAUUGGGAAUGUCCCUCGGGAGGCAGACAAGGAUGAAAUCCAGGCACUCUUCUCACAGUACGGUGCCGUCACAGAAUGUGCCAUCGUCAAGAAUUUUGCUUUCGUCCACAUGGAUGACCGUAAGUCUGCCACCAAAGCCAUCCGCAGCCUGCACCUCUACAAGCUGCAUGGCACAGCGAUAAAUGUCGAGGCUAGUCGCGGGAAGAACCAGGGAGCCGUCAAACUCCACGUGACAAACGUGGAGAAAGGCAACGAUGAUGAGCUCCGCACUUUGUUCGAGGAGUACGGCACAGUCUCUGAAUGUGCUAUUGUCAAAAACUUCGCGUUUGUGCACAUGGACAACUCCGACGAGGCUUUGGAUGCCAUCAAGGGAUUAGACAACGUUGAAUUCCAGGGGAAACGUAUCCAUGUUCAGAUAUCAAAGAGCCGUCCCAGGUAUGAGGAGGAAGAAGACUACCCCCCACCUCAAAGGGGGGGAUACUGGCCCCCCCGUGGCUACCCCGGGGAGAGGCAUGAUCCUCCAUCCCCUAGCUAUCUAAGAGGUCGUCACCCACCCCCCCAUCACGGGUACCCUGCCCCCCCUCCACCACCCCCUCCCCCUAGACGAGCCCCGUACCCUGAGCGUGCUUAUGAGCGCGAGAGGGAGAGCUAUGCCGUGGUGGAUUACUAUGAGAAAUACAGGGCUCGUCCUGCCGCUUAUGGCAUAAUGUCCUAUGAUGAGAGGCGUGUAGGCUCCUUACCCCCCCUCCCCCGCCCCCCUCUUCCAUGGUCAGGGAGCGUUUCAUGGCCUCUGGCCUCGAUCCAUAUGAGCGUCGCCCCCUCCCUCCUCCCCCGUCUGCGUACUACACCAGGGACCGCAGUCCUAUUCGGAGGGCCCCUCCUCCCCCAUGCCCCCCGCCGGUAACGGUUACUCCUAUGAGCGUUCCCGACUCUCCCCCGUCUCUCGGCCCGCGAUGUACAACCUACCACGUACCAGAGACCCCUACGCCGACAGGUUGCCGCCGCCGCCACCGGCCCGCUAUUACUAAGCAGCGUACACCGGCGUUUGACUCAAGGUUUAAAUAUUUCAACAAGAUCUGCGUCCUCGUCACCGCCGUCGUCUCCUGAUGCACGCAGCGAUUUACCCCCGUCUGGUUGAGCGCGUUUCGUUCUCCUGCAACACUCAGGAGGAAUUGUAAUGCAUGACCCCUCGUCAUCUAAAACACUUUUAUUAUACUCGUAUUGUUUUGGCCUUUUUUGUUUUGUAUUUUAGUAUUGUGCUUUAGCUACAUUUAUAGUCUCUGGCUCCCAGAAGCCUUUUAGUCAGUCGUUUUUAUUUUAUUUUACGUCCUUGAUAUACUGUAACGUGUCAUGAUACAAACUUUUGCUGUUAAAUCAAAUUUCUGAAAUUUGAUGAAUGGAAGCUGCAGCACGUUAUUAUGAAUAGGAUGUUAUUAAUAUCAAAUAAUCGUGACUGUAUAUCGACUUGAAUACGAACCAUCAUGUGUUUCCUUUGAAAUUAAACCACCACGUUUGUUCAAUCUACGUCUGAAAUUAUGACAAGUUAUGGAUUAUGAAAAGGUUGCGCUCUGCGACAAUGUACAACGGCGUAAUAAAACCACUACGACGGACUACAACAAUGGACUAGUUGGUUAAUUUAAUUGGACAAAUAUUUGCUGAUUGUAGCUAGUUUUACCAAGGUGGGUAACGUUCUUGUUUGUCAUCUCAGAGGACAUGAUUUUAGUAAAUAAAAUCAACUGAAUUGUAUAGUCAUUUGGAUAUAUUUUUUUUAUCCUGUUAAAUCAUAGUCAUGUCACAGAUUCUUAUCACUAUCAGUGAUUCAAUGGCGGAUGAUCAGUUGCUUCACAAUAUACUUAAACCAUUGAAUCGUGAACGGGGGAUAUAUGCUUGAUUAUGAUAAAUCUAAGAAUCGUCCUCUACCAAUGUGAAAUAACGUUAUCGCUUAUCUCCCCUCGACUUCAAGUGCUCAAUCACAAUUGAACUAUCUAAAUCAACCCCUUCACUGCCCAUCAAUUUAUUUAGGUUUCAUGGGUUGGAUUGAUGGGGCUUUAUUGUCAUGUCCCCAGUUCUCACCAUAUUACACUUGGCAUGACUGUUCUGAGCACCCUUGCUCUGGAAGACUUUUGGAGAGAUGUUCUUGGCACAGCCUGCAGUGGCCUAACCAGGUAAGAUGGGAAUUGGGAUCAGUUGUGGGUUGUAUGAAACUAAGGGUUAAAGAUGUGAGAAAUUUAGGUACACAGGAGUAGAGGUAUUUUCUUAAUUUAGUACAGGGAAAAGGCAAACAACCUUUUGAUUUAUGCUGAGUGUGGACAGGUAAUAUUUUUCAAGUUAUUCCUUUCCAAACUAAAAAACAGUAUGUCAAUCAAAUGUCUUUUAAAGGGGAAAUCUGGGUUUCAUCAACAUUUUGGGACUUAAAUUAAUUAUAUAUGCCUAACCAUUGAUUUUUACAGAAUAUAGCUUUAAUGCCUCAUGAGCAUAGUUAAGCUGUCUUACCCCAAAACAAUGUUUUACAGCCCAAACGUAAGUUUGUUACUCCACUGUUUGUAAAUAAAUAAAAAAUGUUUAAUUGUUAACCAGACUUUGAAGCUAUAGUUUGUUAACUAUUAUUUUGAUCUCAUAGAUAGUCGGUAGUUUCAAUAGCUCAGUUUAUGAUUUUCAGUGGUUACAUUUCUCCAGCCCAUCCCUCAGCUGUUAACCAAACAAUUGUCGGGGAAUUUGUUAUUUGAAUCCAAGAUUGCCCUUCCAUAAUCAGGCAGGGACCAAGUAUUUUCAGGCCAGCAGGUUCCUGGUAAUGUGUGUGUAUUUACAUUUGAUUUUUUAGUGUGCAUAUAAGAAAAACGAAAACGAGCGUUUAUUGGACAAGUGCAGGUUAGUAAGUCGCCCGGUUUUGGCCAUAUUGGUUCCUAGUGAAUGCGCACCUGCGUUCGAUGUUAUAGGCAUCUGUUGAAUUACAAAUGUAUAGUUAAUUGAGCAUUCGUAUGUAGUGACACCUAUACUGGAAAUAGUUAUAUUGGUUUGUACAGCCUGUCAUUCCUACUAUCCGGUGCCUUUUGGUCCUCAUAACGUGUGCUAUCAGAAAGCACACGUUUGACUUUCAUAAAAUAUUGGUCAAGCUCGGGCACUAAAAUCCCUGUUGUGUGCAUGAUCCCAUACAGUCCAUUGCAUAAUCCUAACGGUGGCAAUUUGGAGCAUAAAUUAGCCAUAGCUCUGUGAUUUAAGAUAAAAAUCCUUUAAGUGUUCACGAUUAUGUUAACUUCUUUAUGAAAUGUUUUUUAAGAUUUUGCAAUUUGUUUAAUUUUCUCUCAUUUGGCCUAACAAAGGAAAUGUAUGACUAGCAUAAUGAAAAAUGCAUAAAACCGAGUGUUUAUUUAUUUACAUUUGGCACAAUUGCCCCCCCCCCCCAAAAAAACCGAUGUCCUGAACGUGAUUGUGGGAAGGGCAUGUUUUCUUAAUAAAGGAGAAUUGCUACAUACUAAGGGGGAAAAGUGAUAUCGGGGGGCACAUUUUAAAUUCAAUAGUUUAUAUUUCUCGUAGAAGUUGAAUAACACCUGGGGUGGCAUAAAACGCCUCAAAAUGCGUAGCAUUCCCUUUCAAGAUCUAUAUUUUUGUGUUUUUAAGGAAUGGACGCCUGACAUUAAUUCCCCUUCCCGAUUGUUUAAUCUCCAAAUAAAAUAUUUAAAACCA